UCAGAUCCUGGUCCAAGAAGCAAAGAGGGAGCAGAGGACUCGGAGGUUAAUUCGGUUUCUUUGGUCGCGGAGGGAUGAAUCUCGUCCCCGGAUUAGGGCUCGAGGGUCUAUAGACAUGGAAGGGAGGUUUGAUGCAAGAGCCUAGUUGCU